CCGAUUUAAGCAAGCAGAUAAAGUUGCAGUGCCAGCGUUGGUGCGUUCUGGUGUAGCUCUGAUAGGACUCUCCUCUUGCUUAUCUGCCUGUCCCAUAUCUGUCCAUCCCCACUCACCCCACCCAAGCUGAAGAGCCUGCAGCCAUCACAUGCAACUGGGGUCACUCCCAAUGUCAGCCUAUAGUCCUGCUAAUGCAGAACGCAGACAUGUGUGCUGGUCUGGGAUCAGGUUGGGUUUAGGAGGAACUGUGAAGGGCAUCAGAAGGAGAAAGGUUAAAAAGUGAAAGCAGACCUGUGUUGGUACACUUUACACUAAAUGAUUUGUUCAGUAUAUAUCAGCCUUUAUUCAUAAACACCUGUAUGACUACAUUACUUGAGUUUUAUGUGAAAAUUAGUUGUGAUAAUGUGCAAUCAACACUUUAUUAAAACCUUGUUAUACAAAGUAUAGAGCAUGAAUUAGUAACCUAAACUCACUUAUUUAGAUUUAGUUGUCUAUAUUAGACCUUUAGGUUCUAGUUGGGAUCCAGUGACUGCAGUUUAUGGCUUUAAAUGUUCUAUUCAGUGGUGUCUUGGUGUUGAUCAGCUGACAGGAAAAAGGGCAGAACAAUAAAAUAAAACAACAAUAAUAUAAACAAUAAAAGAAAAUAUCUAUUAUUUAGCAAAAAAGAUUCUCCCAAUGUCAUUUGGAAAGGUUCAUUGUUCCUAAAGGGGCUCUACAUGGGAUGAUCUCUCAUAGCGAAACACCCUGUUGUAGCAUUCAAGAUCCAACUGUAAGCAGCCUCUAAGGAACCUUAGUGAUAAAUGCAGUUCAAGGAGAAUAAAUGUUCAAAUAAAAAGAGAGAAAAAUGUAGGUAAGAAUUAAAAAAUGACCAAAAAUCUUGCUUUCAAGUUUCAAAGACAAAUAAGCCGACUGAAAAAAGACUAGUUCAAGUGUAAAUUUAAAAUAGUCUACAAAACACAAGCUUUGAUGUCAUCAGAACAAUGAACUGCAUAACAAAAAAACUUAACAGUUCACUUCAUGUCAUUGUAACAUAUGCAUACAUAUGCGUAACUAUAUGUCUUAGACCCAGUGUAGUCAAGGAAAAUAUUCAGCUUUAGAGAACAAACAUACAUAAGCAGCCAAAAACAAACAUAUCUAAUAAAUUGAGUCAUUAGUUUAUAACUUUAUUUUUGGUUCAAUUCCAGGUUUAGCUGGAGUGAUAUGAAGGCGUGUCCUUCCAAAUGUACAGGCACGCUAAAGUCAGGAGUUACUGUUUGGUGGUUGAUAGAGGACAGGAAUCUGAUUGGUUGAAAGGCGAGAAAGGAGAGCCCAGAUAAGAGCGAGACAACCCUCGUGUCAUCACCAUAUGCAAAUGAGUAAAGGUCAUUAAAACGCUGAGGGAAGGGGGAUAUUUGACAGAACUCUGGGGGGGACGCUGGACAGAAUGGAGACACCGAGCCUGCAGACAAAUAGAAAGGAAGGAAAGAUGACAAGGAAGGUGUCAAGCGAGUGUAAUUAAGCUGUGUGUUAACACCUACUUCAAGGGGAUUCGAAACAAGUGACCUUAAGGAAUGAUCCGGACAUUUCUCGCAUAAACGCUCUUGAGAUCUUAUAUUGUCUCCUGGACAGGAUAUCAUCAUAUACUGUAAGUUCAUUAUGGAGACACUACAGUAUAGAUGAUGUACUAUCCAGGACGGCAUUCCUCCUCCUGUGGGUUACCUCACACACACACACACACACAGUCGAUGAUAGAGGGAGGCGGUUAAACCGUUACCAUUACUGAGUUUAGUAAUGGUAAGGGUUCUCUUGCUUCUUCUCACUGACACCAACCAUCGAAGACACCGAAAGGAAUUAACUUCAUAUGAAUAUUUUGAAAAUUUGUACAAAAUAUACUUCCACGUUAUAUAACUAUAUAAUUAAUUCUUAUUUAAUUUAAUGUAACAUAACUUGAUGGGGAACUACACACUGAAUCUUCUGGAAUAGUCUAGAUAUUCAUAUUAGUAUAAGUGAAAUCAAUGCAUUAAUUCAGUAAAAAGUUUAUUUUGCAUGCAGGCUGUGUUUAUGAUUGUGUAUUUUGUGUAUUAUGAAUGUUUUGAAUUAACAAUUCAAUAGCAUGUCAGUAGUAACUACUUUCAGUCUAUAAAUGUAUUAUGUUGUGCUUUGGUGAAUUGUUCUAUUAAUUCUCAUAGCUAUUCGUCAUGCAUGUAUCAUACAAGACCAUUUCAGGUCAUCAAGUUCGAUUUUUUUUUAUUGGCAACCGAGUAUAGCUAAUAGCAAAUAUUAUAUGCUGUGAAUAUUAUCAAUAUUGUAUGUACUAUGUCUCAAUAAACACAUCCACCUGAAUCAAUAA